rnacentral:tRNA from 8 species
GGUGGGUUGGCCGAGUGGCUAGGCAGCGGCCUGCAAAGCCGUAUACACCGGUUCGAAUCCGGUACCCACUUCGA